CUGAAGUCAGUCGCUUAACCGACUGAGCCACCCAGGCUCCCCUCUCUUCUUUUCAGUCUUUGCCUCACCCUUGAGAUUCGAGCAACAGCGAACUAUAGUCCCUGAAGGCACAGAUGACUUCACAUGUCCCUGUGUUGAUUACUCUGCACAGACUACCUCUUCCUCCCUGUCCCCCUGGAAACUCCUAUGUCAACCACAACAACACACAGCCUUCUCAGAAAACCUGCUUGGAGUUCCCCGUUUGUCCUUACAAAUAACAACAAAGCAGCGAUAACAGCUGAUACUUUUGAGACUCUACCGAGUGAUUUUAAGCACCGCGUCAAGUUCAUGACAAUUAGAAUUGACAUGACAACUGGACAUUAUUCCCAUUUUACAAAUUGGUCCGCUGAGGCUGUGGAGCAUACGCGGUGGCCCCAGUUUUAGCACCCUGCAAAACUAGAAACGAUGCCCUUUACCAGUCUGAGGACCAAAAGCACUCCGGAGGGUAAGAGCACCCUGGACUUCUCAGGAACCAAAUGGAGAGAUUUUUUUUUUUCUUUUUUUGCUUUGGGGGGUGUCUGAUGUG